rnacentral:rRNA from 1 species
UACGUAGGGUGCAAGCGUUAAUCGGAAUUACUGGGCGUAAAGCGUGCGCAGGCGGUGAUGUAAGACAGGUGUGAAAUCCCCGGGCUUAACCUGGGAACUGCAUUUGUGACUGCAUCGCUGGAGUGCGGCAGAGGGGGGAUGGAAUUCCGCGUGUAGCAGUGAAAUGCGUAGAUAUGCGGAGGAACACCGAUGGCGAAGGCAAUCCCCUGGGCCUGCACUGACGCUCAUGCACGAAGCGUGGGGAGCGAAACAA